UAAAGAAUUGUUGAUCGGGUUACAGCUUGUAGUAAGACAGAACAAUGAAAACCCGGGCAGCUCACUAAAUUUUAAACCCUCCUCCAUGUUGUAAGAAAAGAAAUUGUGGUAAUAGACACAUUUGUUCACCUGAGCCAGGAAUCAAUAUUCUUCUCAGCAGAAAAAGUUCCAAGACAAAAACCACAUCCUUUAAACAGCAGCAAUGAACACAAGGGGCUCUGAUUUACCCCGAUCCCUGACUACGUGAAGAAACAAGCCAGCGUGAGCUUCUGGUGCAAAGAGCAGUGAAAAAGCAUGCUCUCCAGCUGCACGUUCCUGCAUACAGACUGCAUGUGCAGAUGUUUCCUUGCAGCGAAGUGUGUGACCCUGUGUGAGGAGCUGUUCUCCCUUCCCUUCUAAACACACCUGGAGCUCCCUCUGCCCUCAGCUCUACCAGCUCUCCUCUGACAGCUCUUUGCCACAGGAAAAUCUCAGUCUUCAGCUCACAGGGACUAAAAGUUGUGCUGCUCUGCUUAAACCUCUAAGUGUUGCUUUCCAGGCAGUACUGCUGGAAAGAGGCCAAAGGCUGAGCUGUGUACCAGCCUGAAGUCUCUGCGGUUGGAUUCCAAAGGGGUUUCCCCCUUUCUAAAGUACAGGCAGCAGACUGUGAUUAUCUGUGUGUAAGUGGUGUUGCAGAUUUGAACUCCACUACCUACACACUAGUGUCUGGCCUUGAAAUGUGCACUUCUAGGGAGGCAGAGAAAUGUUUAUGCAUUAAGGAAGCAGAGAUAAGAAGUAAGGUGCACUUUUUGGAUCAUGUAUCUCACAUCUGUGGAUGCACACAUGGCCCCUGACCUGGGAAGAGAGUUAGGGUCAGCAUUUAAGGAUGGAAAAGUUGUUUGUUUUCACAGGACAGUUGAAACGUCUGACUUUGCCCAUUUCCACUGUUUUUAUCCUGAACAUUUUCCUACUAACUCUGGUUUUCAUUUGCAGAAGAAACAUGCUGGGGAUUUAAAAUGUGACUUUUCUAUCAAACCAAUUCAAUGGCAGCUGCAACAGCACUGUCUUAUACAUGGCACUGAUACGAGUGCUACCUGGGUGAGCAGAAGCAGAAAUCAUUCUCCCUGUGGAAAGAUCUUGGCAGUGAAGAACAGCAUCAGACAGUGCAAUCUAGCUUAAAAUUCAGCAUUGCCUGGUAAUAGUCAGCCACAAAAAUUAAAGUGAUCUAAAACAAAAAUUAGAAAAAAAAAAAAAAGAAGGUGAUAUAAAAAUCAAUAGCCUUUAAUCGUGCAGUAGUGUACUUUGAGGACACACUUCUGUAUGAUCAGAACUAGUGAUCAAAUAACAAUCAGGACAUCUAUGUGAAAGACUGUUUUCUGAGUACUACUGUAGAGAUGCUGUUCUGAAAAGUCAUCAGUUUAAAAAGUGAUGGUUAUAGAAAAGCUUAAUAUUGGAUUAAAAUGCAAGUAAUACAUGAUCAGGGCAAAGAACUGGCAGAUGGAGAAGGCAUGUUUUCUACUGCUUCCAUUAAACAAAUGAAGUAUCUCAACAGAUCUAACUUCUGGACAGCCUAAAAAGGGUAUACCCAUACUGAAACUGCAGCAGUGGCAAGCUAGCAGGGCUGGUCCUGGAGGGAUUUCAGUCAUAGUAUCCUAGAACCCUGACACAGCUCAUUCGUUUGGCUCCACAGGCAGCUCCACUGAGCUUUGAGUUAGCAGAGCAAGCACAGGGUGCAAGAGCUGACUGCUGCGGGCCAGCUCACAGCAGCACAGUGGUCAGUUUCUGGCAUGCAGAACAGCUUUAUCAGUGCUAUCUUGUUAUCUCUGCACUCUGCACAGUGAUUUUAAAAUAUAUAUCAGCCAUGUAGGAAAUGAUGCAGAAAAUUAAGUACGGUCUUAAAAUGCAACUAGGUGUCUCAUAAACCAGUUCAGGGCUGCACCUCAAAAAAUAAUUUCUCCAGAAUACUACAAAUCACUCCAUAGACAACUUAUGCCAUUUUCUGAAAAAGCUAAAUAUCUUUUAUUUCAGAAACCCAACAAUACCAAAAUCAACAGCUAGCUUGCAUCAGAGAUGAUCAUAGCUUUGAAGAUCAGCUGUCACAUGGAAUUGAAGGGCACGAAACCCACAGUAUGCACAAUUACCUAGAUUCCUUCUUGUCAUGCUGCCGCCUUUUGCAAUUUGAUUGCAGAAGCCUUUGUUAUGGAAAGCACUUAGAGUGUUUGGCAAAAUUCCAGCAAGUGGGACUGACAAGGGGUUUGAGGCCAAAAUCCAUUUCUACAGAAACGUCCACAAUGUGCUUCAUUCACACAACUCAAAAACCAAAACCAUCAGCAGAGAAUGUUAGCUCUUAUCUGUGUACAUCCAGAGGAAAUAGGAAGUAGAUCAGAUACUUUGAAUCUGGUCUCUGGCAGUGCUUCACUCUUCUUAUCUUUGUGCCAAUGUCUACGCUCAGUCUACCUCUCUGCAAAUCCAGUCUGUUUCUUUUCUUGCCCAGCAACCACAAGUCUAUCACUUUCUCCUUAGCUGCAGCCUUCAAACAUGUGAAAACUAUUGUUGUGCCUUCUUCAGUCUAAACAUCUUUCAACUCUUAAAUGGUGGUGAACAUAAACAUUCAAAUCUCAGGAGCUCUGAAAAUAAUAGAAACCUUUCAGUGUAUCUCAUAUACAGAAUUUCUUUUUUUUUUUCACUUUCUCUAUUUUAACAUUCAAUACAAAAGAAUACAGUGAAGAGGUAUCUUUUUUCCUGAAAAACAGAGGAGAAAAAUGUAUGCUUGAAUCAUUUAUGAUGCUGCCUUUGAUUUUUGAGAGGAAGCUGACGGCAGUAAAAUAAACAACUGCCUAGUCAGAGCUUCAGGCCAUACCUUACAUUCCUCCAAGAGAUAUUCCCUAUGCAGUCAUUUUGUUUCAAAGAGUAAAAGCUCAGUAAAAUUUUCUUGUUGUUCUGAUCAGGGCCAUGGGAUGUCACGGCUCUCCUACAUUCCUUUGUACAUCCAGACAUAGCGUUUGAGUCUUGGAGUUGACUGGUUAGGAAAUACAGAAUCAUAGAACCAUGUAGGUUGGAAAGGAUUCGUAAGAUCAUCAAGACCAACUAUCAUCAGCUAACACUAUAAGCCCACCAAUGAACCACGUCCUUAAGUGCCAUGUUCUGAGUUAAAUACCUCAAGAUGGGGACUCCACCACUUCCCUGGGCAGCCAGUUCCAGUGCCUGCCCACCCUUGAAGCAGGAUCUUAUGAAGCAUUAUGAACAGGUGGAAGUACCAGAUUUUGUGUCAGGAACAUGAUUUUUGUCCUGCUUAUUCAAAGACAUGCCAACAUUCACAAGCAGUGCCUGAUAUUUUCUUUACUUCUUUUGCUUCUUUCCACUCUAGUAUCUCUUUAAACAGGGGAAAAAACAAACAAACAAACAAACACAUUCUUUGUAAUAUGCUUAUAAAGAAAUCUCUUCUGCGACGUGAUCUUAUCUCUCUGUGCAUAAACAAACGGGUCUCAUAUUGGGGGUGGCUUAAGAUGCCUUUUUUAAAAUGCCAUCACUUAAGAGGUCACAGGUUCUAAGGUCAUCAGCCCAUGGUGAUUUGUUUUAACAGACAGUCAAUACAUCUAACCAGACUACAAGAACAAGAUUGUACAGUAUACACUAAACAUUAAAAAAAGGUUUACUU
rnacentral:lncRNA from 1 species